rnacentral:rRNA from 1 species
AGCGAACGCUGGCGGCAGGCUUAACACAUGCAAGUCGAACGCCCCGCAAGGGGAGUGGCAGACGGGUGAGUAACACGUGGGAGCGUACCCUUUGGUUCGGAAUAACUUGGGGAAACUCAAGCUAAUACCGGAUAAGCCCUUAUGGGGAAAGGUUUACUGCCGAAGGAUCGGCCCGCGUCUGAUUAGCUAGUUGGUGAGGUAAUGGCUCACCAAGGCGACGAUCAGUAGCUGGUCUGAGAGGAUGAUCAGCCACACUGGGACUGAGACACGGCCCAGACUCCUACGGGAGGCAGCAGUGGGGAAUAUUGGACAAUGGGGGCAACCCUGAUCCAGCCAUGCCGCGUGAGUGAUGAAGGCCUUAGGGUUGUAAAGCUCUUUUACCCGGGACGACAAUGACUGUACCGGGAGAAUAAGCCCCGGCUAACUUCGUGCCAGCCGCCGCAGUAA